rnacentral:lncRNA from 1 species
UCGUCUGUCCUCAAUCUUUUAUUUUGAAAUUUAAAGAUACAUAUGAAAGGGCUGAUUUCCCUUUUUAAUAAAAAAAUUGGAUGGAGAAUUGAAGUUCAACCACUUUUUUCAUUUCUUUUCACUUAUUUUAAUUUCUUUUUUCUCAAACUUGACAUGGUGGAGGAAUCUAUUGGAGAGAAAAACAAUAAGAAAGGUACAAGUUGAACAAGAAAUACUAUUAUGGCAACUUAUUCUGAGCAUAAUUUCAUAUGUUUAUAUACUAUUUGAGAUAUCUACAAUAUCUCAAAUAUAGUUCUCAUUUUUAUAUUUCUUUCCACUAGAACAUUUUUUUCUUUU